UGUGUAGGAAUUGCGGGAGUGUGACUUCUCCGAACUGUUGGCUUAAAUAGGCCAGCAUUCUGCCUUGUAACAGGAGAUUAUGUUGGGCCGAGUUAUUUUUGAAGUAGCGUGAGGUUAGGUGAGCUGAGUCAUAUUCGAAGUGACGUGAGGUUAGGUGGGCCGAGUCACAAUCGAGACCCGUGAUUAUUGUAUCUGUACACUUUAAGUAAAUUAGUUGCGUAUUUUUAUUAGCUCAAACUUUUGGGAUUAACUGUUAGCGUCAACGAUCAAGCACUGACAACAU
rnacentral:lncRNA from 1 species